UACGAAGGGGGCUAGCGUUGUUCGGAAUUACUGGGCGUAAAGCGCGCGCAGGCGGUCUUUCAAGUCAGUGGUGAAAGCCCGGAGCUUAACUCCGGAAUUGCCAUUGAAACUGUAGGACUUGAGGAUGAGGGAGGUGAGUGGAAUUCCCAGUGUAGAGGUGAAAUUCGUAGAUAUUGGGAAGAACACCGGUGGCGAAGGCGGCUCACUGGCUCAUAUCUGACGCUCAGGCGCGACAGCGUGGGGAUCAAACAGG
rnacentral:rRNA from 1 species